rnacentral:rRNA from 1 species
AUUGAACGCUGGCGGCAUGCUUUACACAUGCAAGUCGAACGGCAGCGCGGGCUUCGGCCUGGCGGCGAGUGGCGAACGGGGGAGUAAUACAUCGGAACGUGCCCAGUAGUGGGGGAGAGCGCGGCGAAAGCGGGAGUAAUACCGCAUACGAGCUGAGGGGGAAAGCGGGGGAUCUUCGGACCCCGCGCUAUUGGAGCGGCCGAUGGCAGAUUAGCUAGUUGGUGGGGUAAAGGCCUACCAAGGCGACGAUCUGUAGCUGGUCUGAGAGGACGACCAGCCACACUGGGACUGAGACACGGCCCAGACUCCUACGGGAGGCAGCAGUGGGGAAUUUUGGACAAUGGGCGAAAGCCUGAUCCAGCAAUGCCGCGUGUGUGAUGAAGGCCUUCGGGUUGUAAAGCACUUUUGGCGGGAACGAAAAGGACUGUGCCAAUACCACGGUUCGAUGACGGUACCCGCAGAAUAAGCACCGGCUAACUACGUG